rnacentral:rRNA from 1 species
AUCCUGCCGGAGGUUACUGCUAUCGAGGUUCGACUAAGCCAUGCGAGUCGAAUGUAGCAAUACAUGGCGAACUGCUCAGUAACACGUGGACAACCUGCCCUUAGGUUGGGUAUAAACCCGGGAAACUGGGUAUAAUACCCGAUAGGUCUCGAUUGCUGGAAUGCAUCGAGAUUUAAAGCUCCGGCGCCUAAGGAUGGGUCUGCGGCCUAUCAGGUAGUAGUGGGUGUAGCGUACCUACUAGCCUACGACGGGUACGGGUUGUGAGAGCAAGAGCCCGGAGAUGGAUUCUGAGACACGAAUCCAGGCCCUACGGGGUGCAGCAGGCGCGAAAACUUUACAAUGCUGGCAACAGCGAUAAGGGAACCUCGAGUGCCAGGUUACAAAUCUGGCUGUCGAGAUGCCUAAAAAGCAUUUCAUAGCAAGGGCCGGGCAAGACCGGUGCCAGCCGCCGCGGUAACACCGGCGGCUCGAGUGGUAACCGUUAUUAUUGGGUCUAAAGGGUCUGUAGCCGGCCGGAUAAGUCUCUUGAGAAAUCUGGCAGCUUAACUGUCAGGCUUUCAGGAGAUACUGUCUGGCUCGAGGCCGGGAGAGGUGAGAGGUACUUCAGGGGUAGGGGUGAAAUCUUGUAAUCCUUGAAGGACCACCAGUGGCGAAGGCGUCUCACCAGAACGGACCUGACGGCAAGGGACGAAAGCUAGGGGCACGAACCGGAUUAGAUACCCGGGUAGUCCUAGCCGUAAACGAUACUCGCUAGGUGUCGGCCACGGUGCGACCGUUGUCGGUGCCGUAGGGAAGCCGUGAAGCGAGCCACCUGGGAAGUACGGCCGCAAGGCUGAAACUUAAAGGAAUUGGCGGGGGAGCACCACAACGGGUGGAG